AGCAGCCGCGGUAAUUCCAGCUCCAAUAGCGUAUAUUAAAGUUGCUGCAGUUAAAAAGCUCGUAGUUGAAUUUCGGGAUCAAUAUGUUGGUCGUGCCUUGGUACGUACUAAUUUAUUGGUUUCUUCCUUCUGACGAACCAUGAUGUCAUUAAUUUGGUGUCUUGAGGAAUCAGGACUGUUACUUUGAAAAAAUUAGAGUGUUUAAAGCAGGCUCACGCUUGAAUACAUUAGCAUGGAAUAAUGAAAUAGGACGUUUGAUUCUAUUUUGUUGGUUUCUAGGAUCGACGUAAUGAUUAAUAGGGAUAGUUGGGGGCAUUAGUAUUCAAUUGUCAGAGGUGAAAUUCUUGGAUUUAUUGAAGACUAACUACUGCGAAAGCAUUUGCCAAGGAUGUUUUCAUUAAUCAAGAACGAAAGUUAGGGGAUCGAAGACGAUCAGAUACCGUCGUAGUC
rnacentral:rRNA from 1 species